GCUAUACAUGCAGUCGAGCGGACAGAUGGGAGCUUGCUCCCUGAUGUGUAGCGGCGGACGGGUGAGUAACACGUGGGUAACCUGCCUGUAAGACUGGGAUAACUCCGGGAAACCGGGGCUAAUACCGGAUGGUUGUUUGAACCGCAUGGUUCAAACAUAAAAGGUGGCUUCGGCUACCACUUACAGAUGGACCCGCGGCGCAUUAGCUAGUUGGUGAGGUAACGGCUCACCAAGGCAACGAUGCGUAGCCGACCUGAGAGGGUGAUCGGCCACACUGGGACUGAGACACGGCCCAGACUCCUACGGGAGGCAGCAGUAGGGAAUCUUCCGCAAUGGACGAAAGUCUGACGGAGCAACGCCGCGUGAGUGAUGAAGGUUUUCGGAUCGUAAAGCUCUGUUGUUAGGGAAGAACAAGUACCGUUCGAAUAGGGCGGUACCUUGACGGUACCUAACCAGAAAGCCACGGCUAACUACGUGCCAGCAGCCGCGGUAAUACGUAGGUGGCAAGCGUUGUCCGGAAUUAUUGGGCGUAAAGGGCUCGCAGGCGGUUUCUUAAGUCUGAUGUGAAAGCCCCCGGCUCAACCGGGGAGGGUCAUUGGAAACUGGGGAACUUGAGUGCAGAAGAGGAGAGUGGAAUUCCACGUGUAGCGGUGAAAUGCGUAGAGAUGUGGAGGAACACCAGUGGCGAAGGCGACUCUCUGGUCUGUAACUGACGCUGAGGAGCGAAAAGCGUGGGGAGCGAAACAGGAUUAAGAUACCCUGGUAGUCCACGCCGUAAACGAUGAG
rnacentral:rRNA from 1 species